GCUGGUAUAGCUCAGGCGGCAGAGCGCAUCCUUGGUAAGGAUGAGGUCAGCAGUUCGAAUCUGCUUAUCAGCUCCA
rnacentral:tRNA from 1 species